UACGUAGGGACCGAGCGUUGUCCGGAUUCAUUGGGCGUGAAGAGCUCGUAGGCGGCCACUCAAGUCGAAUGUGAAACCUCGAGGCUUAACCUCGAGCCUGCAUUCGAUACUGGGUGGCUAGAGUCUGGUAGGGGGGUCUGGAAUUCCUGGUGUAGCGGUGGAAUGCGCAGAUAUCAGGAGGAACACCGGUGGCGAAGGCGGGAUCCUGGGCCAGUACUGACGCUGAGGAGCGAAAGCGUGGGGAGCGAACAGG
rnacentral:rRNA from 1 species